AUGACAUACCAGAUCAAUUUUAUUGUAGGUCCUGAAUAUAAAUCUACUAACAAAUUCUGCGAUUCUUUGCUUCCAAAAGAUGAACCUAAACUUGCAAUUCCUCUACUACUGCCCAUUGCCCAGUACAGGUCCAAGAGAACAAUAUUUGCAUUCUGA
rnacentral:rRNA from 1 species